rnacentral:lncRNA from 1 species
GGAGAAACACCUCCUUAAAACAAAUGGGAUUCUGAGACUAGUCAAUUUUAUUUAUUUUGAAAUUCUUUUAACUUUCUUUGUUUUGGAAUUUGAGAAGUGUCAAAAUCUCAGGAUGAGCUCCUUCUUUUUUGUUUUUUUUGUUUUUUGUUUUGAGGAUAUUUCCUAUUGAGAGGGGUGAUUACAAGGAUGCUAGGACUCGAACCCAAGACCUUUCCUUUUAUUGGGGAGGGGGGAGGGGGGGGGGGAAGCAAUUUCUCCAAACCACUACAUUAGUAGGUCCUUUUACGAGGAGCUCCUCCUUAGUUUUAAAGAGACAAACUUUAUCGUUUUGCUUGUGUAGAUCGAUUUUUCUUUGAGAAAUAACUUUGUCAAAUGGGUUAUGCCUUGUUUGUGCUCAAAACUAGAUGAACAAAAGUGGGCCCAAACUUAAAGAUAUGAUGUGGUGUGAUCUGCCUUCAGUAAGAGCUUCCCUUCGGUAGGCUGAAGGUUAUCUGCAAGGAGAGAAAUGGAAGAACAAGGAGUGAGACCUAAGGCACAGGUAUGAUAUCGACCGAAGGCCCUUCAAUACUAAAGUUAGUUGAAGGAGAUAUGAGUUCGUUAUAGACAAGGCAAUGUCAUAAGUGUCAAGUAACUAUUACCUUGUGCCCUAGGGGCAAUGGGCUUUAUUUAUAGAGGUUUUGGGUGUCCUCUUGGCGUAAACUUUCGAUGUGGGACUCAUGGGAAUAGCUUGGGGGGCUGCCAUAUGUCCUAUAGAGUAUACCAAUAAGGAACCCAAUAGAUUCUUGCAAGAUACAUUUUGGGAGGUUAAAUCGGCAGGGGGUGACGAGUGCACUUGCCGACUAUCAAUUGUGAGCCUGCGAGACUGGGUUGGCCAGUGUAGAAUCGGUAAGACACCCACCGCUCAUAAGGCUGGGUUGGCCAGCUUGAGCUUCUGAACCCUGUUUGGUGUUAGGUUCCUUCCACGUGUCAUGGCAUGAGAGGCUGGUCAUAUUUGAUACAAACAUGCAUGAUAUGAGCCAAGCAUAGCACACAAAGAAUGCUAGAACAAGUAAUCAAACGUCACAUGAGCAAUUGUUAAUGAAAGAUAAGGUUAGUAAUUCAACGUCACGUGAAUAAUUGUUAACCGUUGACAAUAUGAGCUACAAAUUAUGUUGUGACAAACAUAAAUAAUAUUUCAAUAUAUUUCUGUAACAUAUGUUAUUCUUAUUCAAUAAUAUGUGAGAAUUAUUUGUAUAAUACAUGAAUUUUGUGUGUCUUACUGAAAAUUUUGAAAAAAAUACGUGUAUUAAAUGUUAGAAAUACUUACGUACAUGUACAAUACGACUAUUGUACAAUUACUUUUUAAAAAAAGUGAGACGUGUAUAGAACACUAAUGUAUUAUUGAAAAAUAUAUAUAUAUAUAUAUAUGUAAAAGCCUAUAGCCGCUUGUCUAUACUAUUUAUGAAAGACAAUUUUUUUUAAAAACGUAACGCCGCAUGGCUAUACUAUUUUUGAAAAAAAUUAAAAAAUCUCGUAUAGCCGCACGGCUAUACUGUUAAAAUAAAAUAAAAUUAGUGUAGCCUCCUAGCUAUACUAUUUUUUAAUAUGAAAAGUGGACCCCUGCGAUAGGCGCCACGUGUCAACAGAAGUCUAUUUUAAAAAAAAAAUUAAAAACAUAGAGUAUAGCCGUGCAGUUGCACUAUUUUAAAAAAAAAAAAAACCGCUCUAGCCAUAAGGCACCACGUGUCAAAAAUAAGUAUCGCAGCCCGGUUAUACUAUUUUUUUAAAUACAAAAUCAUAGUAUAGCUGCAGGGCGAUACUAUUUAAAUACAUUAUAUUUAAAAGGUAAAGCCGACCGGCUAUACUAUUUAAUAAUUUUUAUUUUUAUUUUAAAAAGGACCUUCCUAUUUGCAUUAGUUUGUACUUUAUAGAUCUUAAUUUGCUAGUUUCAACAUAUCCGAAGUAGAUAUUAAUCUUCCACUAUAUAAUAUUUCAAUAUAUUUUUUUUUUAUAACCUAUGUUAUUCUUAUUCAAUAAUAUGUGAGAAUUAUUUGUAUAAUACAUGAAUUUUGUGUGUCUUACUGAAAAUUUUGUAAAAAAUACAUGUAGUAAAUGUUAGAAAUAUGUACGUACAUGUACAAUACAAAAUAUUGUACGUUUGCUUUUUAAAAAAAUGUGAGACGUGUGUAGAACACUAAUGUAUUAUUGAAAAAUAUAUGUGUAUAUAUAUGUAAAAGUCUAUAGCCACUCGUCUAUCCUAUUUAUAAAAGACAAUUUUAAAAUUAUUAUAUAUAAAAAAAAAACCUGCAAAGCCGUACGGCUAUACGAUUUUUGGAAAAAAAAUAAAAAAUCGUGUAUAGCCGCUCGGCUAUACUCUGAAGACCGCAAAGGCACCCACGUGUAAAAUAGUACAGCCGCCCGGCGAUACUGUUUUAAAAAAUAUUUAAAAAAUGAGUAUAGCCGAUUGACGAUACUAUUUUUUAAUUUAACACUCCCAGCGAUAGGCGCCACGUGUCAACAGAAGUCUAUAUAAAAAAAAUAAAAAUAAAAACAUGGAGUAUAGCCAUGCGGCUGUACGAUUUUUUUAAAAUUAUAUAAAAAGAAUACCCUCUAGCCAUAAGGUGCCACGUGUCAAAAAUAAAGUAUAGCCGGGCGCGGCUAUACUAUGUUUUUAAUAAAAAAUCGUAGUAUAACCGCCCCGCGAGAAUAUUUAAAUACAAUAUAUUUAAAGGUAAAGCCGCUCGGCUAUACGAUUUAAUAAAAUAAAAAAAAAGGAAAACUGAAAAAAGGACCUUCCUACUUGUAAUUUAUAGAUCUUAAUUUGCUAGUUUCAACAUAUCCAAAGUAAAUAUUAAUCUUCUACUAUAUAAUAUUUCAAUAUAUUAUUCUUAUUCAAUAAUAUGUGAGAAUUAUUUGUAUAAUACGUGAAUUUUGUGUGUCUUAUUAAAAUUUUUGUAAAAAAUACGUGUGUUAAAUGUUAGAAAUACAUACGUGCAUGUACAAUACGACUAUUGUCUAUUUGCUUUUAAAAAAAAACGUGAGACGUAUAUAAAACAUUGAUGUAUUAUUGAAAAAUAUAUGUGUAUAUAUAUGUAAAAGCCUAUAGCCGCUCAUCUAUAUUAUUUAUGAAAGACAAUUUUAAAAUAAAUAAAUAAACUAGUAAAGCCACACGGCUAUACAAAUUUUGAAAAAAAAUAAAUAAAUCGGGUAUAGCCGCCUGGCUUUACUACAGAGCGCAAAGGCACCCAUGUGUAAAAUAGGAUAGCCGCGCGGCUACACUGUUUUUAAAAAAAUAAACAAAAUGAGUAUAGCUGCAUAGCUAUACUCUUUUUUAAAUAUAAAAAAGUGGUUCCCUAGCGAUAGGCACCACGUGUCAACAGAAGUCUAUUUUGAAAAAAAAUAAAAACAUGGAGUAUAGCCGUGCGGCUGUACUAUUUUAAAAAGAAUACCGUCUUGCCAUUAGGUGUCACGUAUCAAAAAUAAAUAUAGCCGCCCGAUGAUACUACGAAUGAAUUGGUCUCGUACAUGUUCAUGGUAGGCUGACCCACAGGUUUUAAAAUGGCCUAGGCCCAAUAGCUGUUAAACUGAAAAAACAAAACAAUCCAAACUAUUUGGCCAAGGCGGGGGUGAUGUGGCGGGAAAAGCAAGUGUGAGGCACAUGGAGUACAUGCCACGUAGAGUGCAUACUAAAUACCGACGCUGGUGGGGAAUGGUGGACCUUUCCGUGUCCACAAAGGAGCUGCAUUUGACGGUCUGGCCAUGCUCCUUUGUCUCCUCAUCCCAUGUCCCUACCUCCCACUACAUUCUUGGACACUUAUGGGUCCUUUCAAUUUCUUCCAAACUUCAUUUACAACUUCAUACAAUCUCUUACCCAAGUCAAUUUCACUCAUUUAACUUAACUAGUUACAAUAACUUGUGUUUUAUCUGUGUGAUUAAUGGCGCAUACGUGAAUUAGGUCAGUUGGAUAAUACAAUGUACUCAUCUUUCUACACUCGAAUUCGAAUAAUUUUUUAUAUAAUUAAAAUUGACUGAAAUCAGACAUCUUAAAAUCACUAGAGUAAAGAUAUGUUAGCUAUGGUAAAAAGUAGAAAGCCAUAAUGUAAUAAUACUUUUUCACACAAAAACAUGGAAUGGGGGAUCCUUCAGAAAUACAUGGGUUGGAGACCAAAUUUACUCAAAUCUUCACCUCGCCAAAAAAUUCUUAUAAAUCAUCUGGUGAUGCUACAUGUAUGAUAUUUACUUAUGAUGAAUACUUCUCUAAUAAGAGUAAAAUUCACAUAUACAAGUGGAUCUCACAUUUAUCAGAAAUGUAAUUCGUAAGUGUAAUACGCCUAUACAUAUUUACGUUAAUUUUGGAGUUAACUCACUUUCCUCCCUCUCUCAAUAUCUAUUCCCAUGCAUUAUGUCUACUAGAUACGUAGCUCAUAUAAUGGUUUUCAGCUUCUUAGGGCCCUCCAAUUGAUUAAAAAGUGAGAGAUGAAGGGAAAAGGGGACAAGGGGAGCCCCCAAUAUCUCAAGUUUGGUUUUACAGGUUCAUCACCCAAACACCUGCAUGUUCUCUUUAAGAACGGUUAUAGUCCCAUACACAACCUGCAUUUAUUGCUCUUCCUUCCCCUCUCACUACAAAUACUCUGCAAAACCUAACACUUAACCCACUCACAUAUACAAGACUUUCAGUUAUUUCCAUUACAUAUUCUCAUCGUCUGUGUGUGACUUUAAGUCUUCAAAUCCUUCAGAUCAUAAUCUCCAAUUUCUUUUGUCUCUCUCAUAAUAUGUCUUCCAUUGUUCUUCUCUUUUUUCUUUGUCUUUCUAUCCAUGCAUGCAAUUCCCGACUUCUAGGCCUUGUUGAUAAGCAAAGUGGCAGUAAAUCCUACCAUUCUGUUGAGGUGGGUGCAAAUAUUUCAACAUCUGAUUAAAUUCUUGUACAUAAUAUUUUGAGAAGUUCUGCCAUGGAGUUUUAAUUCCAUCAUGUGGUGCACACAUGCCUUAUUUAUUGUUAUUUAACCAAAAAAAAUUGGUCAUCAUAGUACCUUGUUGAAUUGUUAGAACUGCAUGCGAUAAUCUGGAGUACUUAAUUGUUUCCCAUCACCGGUUGAAAGCAAACCAUGUGUCUCAUCACAUGACCCUAUCACGUGCUGACAAAGAUAGACACAUACAACGUGCGAAACAUAUGAAAGAAAUCUAAUAACUUAAGUGAUUAUUAGUUUUAACUUAUUGAAGCGGCCUAAUUAUUUUAGGGUUGGUGCAGGAUGUAGCGAAAGUCUUAAGUGAGACUUUAAAGUCAUCGAUGAUGCCUACCAUCUCAGUUGAAUACCAAGCACAACAAAUAAACGCUGAAACAUUCACCCAUGAAAGUAUCCCGACGGCUCUUUUGAGGAAACAAGGGCAUGCCAAUGGACCAGCCUCAGGUUCUUAUAAAUCUUCGAAUCAAUUAGGUCAUUAUUUUUUGGUUUUGUAUAUAUAUUCUUGUUGAUGAUGAAGAUAUGCAUGGUGGUGUGCAGGAUAUGAUAUUAUUGCAUUAUCUUCCCAGGUUGAGCUGAAGAAAUUGAUUGAAAUGCAGGUAUAUAAGUUACUGGGUGCAAUUUAGUAUUUUUAUUAGAUUGUUUUGAAUGAUCUCUGUUACACUGGUGGUGCAAGUGGCCAUAUCUACUGUAACCAUGUCCCCUGUGAGGAAAUCAGGGCAUGUGGUCUGCUCAUGCAUGCACUGUACAUAUAGCCGUUUGUGAGAUACAUGAUACAUACAUAUAAUAGGGCUGAGAAAAAAAAAGGUGUGUAAAACCUAAUUAUGUUAUGAGUCUUAUGUUUAUGAGCUAGAUUGUGAAUCUGAUUCACAUAUUAAUAUGCUAAGAGAACUUAAUCGAUGAAUCAGAUCGAUUCAGUAUUUGCAAUUGUCAUGACUCGUGAUAAGAUAAUCUUUACAUAUAUGUAUCUAUAUCAAUUAUAUUUUGCAUGGAAAUUAUUGCAUAUGAAUAUUGAUGCUGUAUGAUUUUAGGGAUUGAAGAGGCAGGCACGGACAUUACUGGGAUCUGCAACACAUAACAUGGAGGAAGACAAAGAUUCGAAGGAAGAUGAAGCUAUUGAGGUCGUAGGUGUUAUGGAUUAUGCACAACCUCACAGGAAGCCACCCAUUCACAAUAGAAAGUCCUAGACAUAUCCGGAUUUUCUGCUUCUGGUGGAAUUUACUUCAUUUCUAGCUAGCUAGCACUUAAAGAAAAAUUAUAUAGUGAUUUGUCCUUGGUUGGUGGGAAAGGUGUUUGUAAUUUACCUGGUCUAUAGAAGAAAAAUAAAUAUAAAUAAAAACUCUCUUGCAAAACCUUGGAAAAGAAGAAGAAGAAGAAGAAAAAAGAAAGAUUCUGUCCUCGUGAUUGAUACAGAACACGUGUUUUCCUUUGCUGCAACAGUGACAAGUCCAGUAGUGACAAAAUGGUGAUUUGAUGGAUGAUGGCUCCUCUUUUUUAUUGUUUCUAUGUGUGUUUUUAGGUUGACGGAAUAAUAAAGGAUUGUAAUCUAAGUGAAACAUAUUACAUGGAUGUGUCGCAUGGAAACCUUCUUGCUUGUGUUGUCAUUGUCAUCCAUUUGGGUGGUAUUUCCAAGUUUCUCCAUUUCGAGUGAUUGGUCUAGUCAAAUAAGCUGCACGUUAGAGCAACUCCACCCAUUUGCCCUUAGCCAUGGCAAGGGGGGAGCUAGGGCAGCCACUAUUCACGUGAAUAGUGGUUGCCCUUGCAAAUAGUAUUUUGAGUUUCCACCCAUUGCCAUGGCUAAGGGCAAUUACUAUUCAUUUUUUUGUUUUUUCACAACUUUUUUUUACUUAAAUAAUUAAUUUGGAUAAUAUUUUCGGAUAAGAUUUUUGGGUUCCUACGUGUCAAUACUAUUCAUAUCGGAUAAGAUUUUAUUUUAUUAGUUGUAUUGGUUGGUAUUCAUUUAAAAAAAAAAAUUAGGAUUUGGUGUUAAAAGUGAAGAGUAUUGGUUGGUAUUUAUAGACACGGGCGGACCCAUAAUUUUUUUAGCGGAGGUGCAAUAUUGGCUAAGUAUGAAAAAUGGUUUUUCGGAAUAAUUAUUUUCUCAAGAUAAUUUUUGGCGGCUUUUAUUCCUUACACAUCAAAUAAGAAAACUUGAUUUUAUGGGAUUUUAAUAUGAAGUAUAUAUUGACUUAAUGAGCCAUCAUUUUUAGCCUAAAUCGUAUUUUGCACUAAAACCGAUUUUUCAUAUUUUGAUUUGGUGGGAAUUUGAUUUUCUAGUAUUUUUAUUUGAAUCCAAAUGGGGGGUACUUCCUUAUUUACAUUGUAAACUUAAGUAAAUGGAGUAAUAUAAAAAUAAAUUAAAGUAAAAGGACAAAGACAUUUACUUAAAUGUUGAAAAUGGAAAUAAGGUAUAGAGGAAAAUGUUGAGUAAAGAGUGAAUAAUAGUAGAAGUAUAAUGAAAUGUAUGAGGAUUGGUGUUGAAAGUGAAGGGUAUUGAUAGGUAUUUAUAGAAAAAAAAUAUCAGAAUUUUUUAAAAACAUUUACGAUUUUUUUCAUAUUUUUAUUGCCCAAAAAAGCCUCAGCCGUUGGAUUAAUUUGGAGAAGCAGAUCGGAAGGCUGGGGAGGCGACACGUGGCAGCGUACCUUGGACCUGGCGCGCUGACGUCAGCGUGACGCGAGGCUGACGUCAGCAACACGCGAGUUGGACCUCGGGCUGGUCUCGCCUUCGGGCUGGCCCGAGUUGGUGGGUCCCACACCACCCCCGGGCCUGGGCUGUACGCUGGAGCGACUUUUUUUUUUUUUCCUGCCCUCGCCUCGGGCUGGGCUCCCUCGCUGGAGCUGCUCUUAAAAAGACCAGGAAGGUGCAUCCAAAAUAAUCACGUUCAAUUAGUUGGUUGCUAAGGCUUGCUGCUUUUCUGUCGGGGACCAAAUUAUACUAGGUUCAGUUACGCAUGUACAAAUGAGUGAUUUUGAGUUAAAUUAUGAUAGAUUCAAUCGCGCAUGUACAAAUGAGUGAUUUUGAGUUGUUAAUGUGCUUACGAGUGAUUUUAAGUUGUUAAUGCAUUGUGAGGUCCACAUGCAUCAAUAGUUGACGCUAACCUUCCUCCUCUGAAAGUAUAUAGCUACCUACUUUCUAAUUAACCACACUUCAGAGACGGAUAUGUUUCACAAAUUGUUGACACCAUGCCCCCACUUUACAAUGAAUUCCACAUUCCAUUUUGGUGACUUAGAAAUGGUAGGGAAAUAAGUAAAACAAAAUAGCCAAAUUAUAUGUUUGCCCAUGUUCGGUAUCUAAGAAAGCAGUAGCAAUUCACAAAAUCUUCCAUAUAGGGGCUGAGUUUCACAAGCUGGCAAGAAACCAGCACAUGCUCUAUACACAAACUACAGUGGUUGGUUAUGGGCCACAACGUUUUGAAAUGAAUCGAUCUUUGGUGCGAGUAAAAGCUACAUGAUAGUAACUAGAUAUUUAUGUCUGGUAGCACAAAUAUUCAACCAAAAAUAAGCUAAUCAAGAUUCAAGAUUGGCAGGACCAGCGGUUCAAUAUGCGCUCUUGUUUGAUGAAGUAUUCUUUUAUAAAUUUGGAUUGUGGUUUCUUUAGAUUAAUCAAGUACUGCUGCAGCUGACAAUAAAAGGUUUAACGAAGUUUAUAAAUUCAGAGGUUCUGAUGCCCAGCUUCAGAUCGAUCUCGCCACCCCCCAACCAGAAGAAAUCAGGACUAAGUUUCUGAAUUGCUUCAUCCAAGAUCACCUGAAAGUGAAACCAACCCAUACAUCAUCACAUUAAGAAGAGCAAAAUCUGUCUACACACAUAUGCAAAUUCAUCUAAUCUUAUGCUUACUAAAAUUUAGUGUGAAAGUGCUAGGUUGUGGUCAUCACAGACAAUAACUACAAUGUCAUUUCAUAAUGUUUUGUGAUUUCUAGUUUAUGAUACAUCAUAUGACCCAUGAUAGGAAAAUGAGUAUCCACUGUUCAAGCAUUUUCUAAGUACUUCAGACAUUAUAAUACACUCCCUACACUAAUGCAUGUGCAAACACACGCAAAAGAGUGUUUGCUGUCUAACAAACCUAGCUAAAUAAUCUACCUCUCAAAAUAAAUACCUUCUUUUGGAAGAUGUGGCAGACUGGCAGACACUCGUUAAUCAAAUACAACCAAUACAAUGGACCACCAUUUGACAACCCAAAACUUGACACUCUCGGACUAAUAGACAGUUGAUAUCUGAAAAGUGGACCAGCUCAACAGCUGGUAUGAAGGUUGGCAUGACUGAACUUAUAAACAGGGUUCCUGGCAAUUGAACCUCGGGUCCUUCUGUGCUGGAGCUUAUCAUGAAAGGGAACUGAAGUAGUUUGUCUCAAGAACACAGGACAGCACAGGUGUAGCUUAUAGUUGUAGGGAGGUAAUGUUUACAGUUGUUGUAUAAGCUUAUGAAACCUUGAGAGCAUGUUACAGAAAGUUUAAAAGAAAUGGACCACAAUUUAGAUACAGUUUCCAUCCUAGUUUCAUCUAAUCAAUCACAUCAGACUUCUGAGCAAUCAGUUAAUUGGUUUUACAAUUUUCAAGGGACAGAUGCAAAGGCAAAGGAUCUUGAGUGACAAGUCAAGCAAAAAUAAUUCUGGUACCACGAGACCACAAAAAACAAUUCCAACUCCAAAGGGCAACAAAUACGUAGUAAAUAGAUGAAAGAAACAAGUGUUCACCGGAAUGCCUGUUUUCAUGCCAACACAUGUAACUCCGUUGUGCUCAAAUCCAGUCAAUUCUACUGAAGUUUCCUCAGGUGCAAGCCUCACUGCAUAAUCAAAUAACAAACAUUAUCACCUUCUGAAAUACAAUAAGAAAAAUUUAAUGUAAACCUUGAAGAUAUAAACAUAUUAAAAAACUCAUAACGGAGAACUGAAAGAAAAUCCAACAAUGCAGCAUAUUUUGGAACACUUUUUUUUUCUCUUGCAGAGAACUUUUGAACACUUCCACGGUAUAUACUUAGAAAUACAAAACGACGGUUUAUGAUAAAACAACAGGAGUAAUACAAAAGAAACAUAGACUGGAAUUGGACAGUCCUCUUUUUUUUUUCUUCCUCAACUGUCCGACGAGGCAGGAAAGGGUUAAGAAUGAAUAUGUUAUACAAUAACAUUGGAACAUGUCUCUAUGGAUUUAAAGGAGAAGGCUCACACAAAAAUUAUUAGUAUUUUUAUUUGCACACGUACAAAAUCCUGGAAGGCAUUUUCUUGGAGUUCCCAAGAAGAACCAUGUGAAAAGAGUGGGACCAACUUCCCCUGAGAGUGAAGGAAGAAAUGGGUGGAAUCUGAGAAGAUAGGAAUAAAGCCGUAUCAAAAACAGUUUGCCUAGGAAGGCUGGCAUUGAAGGAACUUUUGUAAUACUUCUACAGUGGAUGUGAAAAAGAGGGAUGACCAUAGGAAUAAAACAGGAUUAAUACUGAAGUACCAUAGCAUGGACGUGGAGCAAAUUUUUUGUUGUUUUAAAUCAACUGCCCACUAAAGCAAAAAUGCAUUAAGAAAAAAUGUUAUCUGAUAACAUUGGAACACAUCUCCAUGGGUUUAAGGAGAAGGUUCAAGCAGAAAGGAUAGUUUGAUCUACGCACGGAUAAAAGUCUGGAAACCAUUUUGUUGGAAGAUUAGGUUCCCAAGAAGAUCUAUGUGCAAAGAGUUGGACCAACUUUCUUUGAGAGAGUGAGAAAAAAAAAAAAGGAGGAAUCUAAGAGGAUCACGAAUAAAGCCAUCAAAAAAACAGUUGGACUAGAAAAGCCAACAUUGCAGACAUUUUCUGAAUAAUUAUACAGUGGAUAUAAAAAUGAUUACAGAAUAAACAGAAGGAAUAGAAAAGAAACAUAAAAUGGAGUUUGAAUAACAUUUUUUCCCGUCAGCUUUCGAUUGAGGCAAAAAUGGUUACGAAAAAAUGUUAUCCAGUAGCAUUGGAAUGCAUCUCCUAUGAGGAGAAGGUUCAAGCAGAAAGGAUAUUUAUUUGAUUUACGCACAGAUAAAAUCCUGGAUACCGUUUUGUUGGAUAACAUGUUACCAAGAAGAACUAUGUGCGAAGAGUUGGACCAACGUUUUUUGAGAACUGAAGAAAGAAAUAGGAGGAAUCUGAGGUGGUCAUGCAUAAAGCCAUCUGAAGAAUAGUAGAACCAGAAAAGCCAAACAAUGCAGCAAAUUUUAAGACACUUCUUACAGUAGAUCUCAAAAGAAAGGAUGAUAACAGCAUUAAAAUGGAGUAAUACAAAAGAAACAUAGAACGGAAUUGGACCAUUCUCAUGUUAUCAAACAAUGAGGUGCAUAAUUUAGUAACAUCAGCAUCUAAACACACCACAAUCACCUACCCCAAAAUCACAUUGCUAUUUCUUUUUAUGUGACAAUAAAAACCCAUCUUUGCGCCAAUUUUCGUAGUACGAAUAAUGCAUUCACCAGAAAAGAUAUAAAUCUAAUAUCACCAGAGUCCGAACACAAAACCUACUACUAAGUACUAAUAAGUACUAACUCACAUUGCUAGUUUGCCACCUACUUGACAGUAUUGGCAUUAUCCAUUCUUUGUUUUUUUUAACAUUGUACUUAAAUGCAUUUACGGCUAUCCAAAAUUUCUGAACAAUGAAAAAUAAAAUUAACUUCAACAUGCAAACAGCAUAGAUCCUAGUUUGGCAUACAAAAAUUGCAAAACUUCAGAACAUCUUAAGAAGUCUUUGAUUUUAAUAGAACAAGAGAACUAACAGUUGAACUUUUUCUUGGCUAUCUUCCCCUCGUUGAGCGAAUACAAGAAGUUCUUUACAGCUUCAGCAUUAAACCGAGCAGUAUACUGCACCCAAAACAAAAGGGUCCAAAUUUCACGCAACUCAUACACCAGCAUUAUAAAUGUCUUAACUUUAAACACAUCCGUUGAAAAAAAAAAAAAAGUUACCUGAACGACCACAACAUAAUACUUUGAAUUGUUGCGGUCACUACAAUCAACCACACUAGAUUGGGCUUGAGUGUUAACCUGGGAAAUGCAAUACAAGGUCCAAAUAAAUAAUUCAAAAAAGAAAAAGCAGAAUGCAAGGGGAAUUGAAGAGGGAUUUCAGAUUGGAGAUUUGAGUUGAAUGAGUUGGGUACCAAGACAAUGCUUUUGCAGAGAUGGUGGACGGAGGCGGCGCCGAGAACGUCGCGCCGGUCAUCGAGAGACCAAUCGUAGUAAUCGGCAGGUACCCUCUUGAAGGCGAAGUCUUUCACGCCAUUGGCGCGGAGAAUGGCGGAGAGACGAGCUUCUGUGGCGCCGAUGGCGUCGUUUUGAGUCGAGGUAGGGAUGGGGGUAGAGCUGUGUUGGGGAAGAGAGGCAGAGGAGGCGAGCUCGAACUUUGAUAUGCGUUCUAGGAUUUGGGUUUGGAAUCGCUCCAGCUCUGCUAGUGAUUUUUCCAUUCUCUCUCUCUCUCUCUCUCUCUCUCUCUCUCUCUCCUGAGUCCAAUUUUCGAGCUUUGGUUAGCCAUACGAACGACGCGUUUCUGAUUGUCGUUUACGAUAUUGUAAACGACAACCGGUCGAUUAAAUAAUGUACAUAACUGUCUUUUUCCUGCUUUGCUCAUCUUUAGUCUCUAUCCGUUCUCUCAGUUGGCCAAAAAAUUGCGUGGUGUUUGGUAAAUUGGUAGGAAUGUUUUGCCAUUGGGAGAGUCUUUGUAUUUUAGAAUAGCAAAAGAAGAAUGUUAGCUACUUUUUCCUAUUGCCUUUUUUAUUUUGUUUUUUUCAUUUAUUUUGUGUCACAUGCGUUUAAUUUACACAUAAAUCUUAUAUAUGUAAUGUAAAAUAUUAAUAUUUUAAUUAAAAAAUAAUUAAAAGGUUUUUGAACACAUUAAAUACAUAAAUUCAUAUGUUCAUGGAAUAUACGUGGCACAAAAUGAAUGGGAAAUGCAAAAAGGGAAAAGCAACACACAAGGUAGCUAGCACUCUUCCGAGUUUGAAAAGCUAGCUUCCUUCCCAUCUUAUGACCCGUUUGGUUCAAGGUUUAGGAGCUUGAGAAUGAGUUUGAAAUUGCAUUCCCAUGUUUGAUAAGUGUACUUUUGGAAAUGCAAUUAUGGACUUACUAGUAUGGACUUCCCAUGUGGGGAGGAAUUUCAUACCCUUGGCUGAGUUUGCGAAUUUUUUCCCCCUACUUGGGAAAGUAGUUAAUGCAAUUUUUUAUGACUAACUUACCCCUAUUCUAUUUUUAAAAUACAAUGUUUUAACUAGGGGUGGCAAUUUUGGGCAUGACCUGUUACACGACUCAAAACUCGCACGAGAAUUUAGCAGGUUCAACCUGCACAUUUAAAAUUUUGGUUCUUUUUGGGUAAACCCGCCAUGAUCUAUUUAAUAAACUGACAAGUUUCGGGUCAAAUCGCCAACACGCUAAAAUACCUAUAUAAUCCGUUUAAUAAAACGGGUCAUGGUGGGUCAACCCGCCAAUCAGCUAAAAUACCCAUGUAACCUGCCAACCCACUAACCCAUUUAUUUGUUUAUUCUUCAUUUUUCUAAUUUUUUUUUAAUGUCUUUUAGUUGCUACCACUUAGGGGGUCAACCUGACACGACCCAAAAUCUGCACGAGAACUUAAUGGGUUAACCCGUGCAUGACACGUUUAUUAAAGGGGUUAGGUUUGGAUUGAGCAUUUCUGACACGUAUAUAAUCUUGACAUGACACGACCCAUUGCCAAUCCUAGUUUUUAACCUUAGAAAAACUCUUCGUAUUUCUUUCUUUGUGAUAUAAAAAAAAAGGUUUAUUUAUUUGCAUGCCCCAUGUGCUUUCAAACUUGUCUCAGAUUACCACUUGGACUUUGAAACGUCUCAAAAUACCCCCCAUAAUUUUAAAAACGAUCUCACGUUACCCAUUUCGUCAGUAUUAUAGAUGUUCCGUUAUGUGCUACGGGCCCUACUUCGUUUUAAUCCUUAACAUUGGAGAAUAAGAGUUUUUUCAGAUUCAGAAAAGAGGAAGGGGGUAUUUGGGUGAGAAGGGGAAAUUUGGAGAAGAAGGCUAGGGCUUAUCAAAAUCUGAGGUGGGGUUUGAAUUUUGGGAGAAUCUGGAGAAGAAAUCACUGUUUGGGCUGGGUUGCUGCUGCUGCAGCUUGUAAUCUAUACCCAGUUCCUAAUCCUUCGCCUUGAAGAUACAAACUACAAAGAACAAUGAUAUAUUUAUAUAUCCCAUUUGAAAUAGAUGAAAGCACAUCAAGAUACAAGCUCAUGUCACCACUCUCUUUCAUAAGAUCUAGAUUGGAUGGGGAAAGGAAUGGAGAAAUGAAGGGGAAAAUAAAAAUCUCCAUCACAUAAAAGAUACUGCCCAGAUAGGAAAGAGGCCAGGUGCUGGAUUUUGUGGGUUUCUCCAUGGAGUAAGACUUAGUUUUUCUUUCGUAAGCCUAUUAUGUCCAAGCUUUCCUCCUGGAAGCCAAGUAUUAGUUGGGUGAUCAAAACUCUGCCAUAUAACAACAGAUGAAUUAAAUGCAUCUGUUAUGAUCCCAUUGUCAAGUAGCAUUGCUACGGUGGAAUGAGAAACCGUUGACUUAGAAUGAGUUGGCCAAACAUAUUAGUUCAAGCAAAUCAUCAGACUUAAACAAAGAGUUAAGUUGUUGCUUCCUCUGUUAUUAACAUUAAUAGUCUCUGGUUUUCCAGGUUACAAAGUUGUUGACAAAUCUUAUGCUGUUAAGAUAAAAUUAAAAGCCCAUCAUCUAUCAAUCAGAACUUGGUAAAUCAGGGCUGCAUUAGCUUGAUACAUCUCUCAAUCAGAACCCAAUUACUUGUAAAAUUGAUUCAAAAAGGGUAAAAAUGUAGGCAAUUUGGGGUCCAUAAUGGUCACUUUCCACCCAAAUUAUAAUUACUUGAUUUAGCUUCAAAUUCAUUAACUAGGUUUAGAGUACUUCUGUGUUCUUCAAUUUGGAAACACAAGUUUUCAGUGGAAGCAGAAAAUCAAGGAACUUUGAAGCAGAGAAAUAACCUGCAUGAGAAGGAAGUAGAACCCAAUCUGCAGUUUUAAUCAAACAUCUCCUCACGUCAAACUACAAAUACACCAUUAUAGUCUGUGAUUGCUUCAAAAUAAAUGUAAUUAACAGACCAUUGUGUUUAUUUGUAUUUAACCAAUUUCUGCAAAAAUCAGUUUAAAGAUUCAAUAUUAAAGCUGAAAUUUCUCAUUCUCACCCAAAUACCCCCUUUCCCUUUUUUGAAGCUGAAAAAACCCUUAUUCUCCAAUGUUAAUGAUUAAAACGAAGUGGGGCCCAAAGAACAUAUCGGAACGUCUAUAAUAUUGACGGAAUGGGUAACGUGAGACCGUUUUUAAAUAUGUGGGGGGUAUUUUGAGACAUUUCAAAGCCCAGGUGAUAAUAUGAGACAAGUUUGAAAGCACAUGAGGCAUGUACAUAAAUAAGCCUAAAAAAAAAGUUAAGGGCAUUGUUGGAAAACUAACAAAUUUUCAUUCCUAAAUCUGCACAAACUAAACAUAGGAAUAGUAUAAAAAUGACAUUUCAUGAUCAUCAUUUCCCAACGUUUCCAAACAUGAGAAUGAACAUCCUUCAUUCCCAUCUCAUGGGAUUAUAUAGGGGAAGUUCAUUUCCAAGAAGUUCAACCCAUGAACCAAACGAGCCCUUACAUUCUCCGUCUUUCAUAUUACCUACUCAUUUUGUGUAAAGUAUAUUUCACUUACACAUAAAUCUAUAUAUAAAAUAUAUUUAAAAACUCUUUAUUCUCUUUACAACAAAAUAUUAGAAUUUUGCAUUAAAUACACGGAUAUAUGUGAGUAGAAUUUACUUGACACAAAUUUAAUGGGAAAGACAAAAAAAGAAAAUUCAAAAGGAAUGCAGCUAACAUUAGAGGUGUUAAACGAGACGGGCCGACCCAGCAUUGCACGAGCUCAGCUCGUUUAAAUGGUGUACGGCAUGGCACUUCACGAGUAUGAAUAUUAGUAGGCCUUGCUCGGCACGGCACGAAAAAUUGAACUGGGCCGGAUUAAAAAAUAGGUCCAAUGAAUCAUGCCAGGCUUGGUCCGAGCCCGCUUCAAGCACGGCACGAGCCUGAGCCCACUUCAAACAUGGCUGAAGCCUGGCUCACUUUAUAAGUAGAUGAUGAACCACCAAACUUUUCAACGAACCUCCCAUGCCGCAUAGCUAUGGCAUGAAUGGUGAAGUUUUCCUUCUCUUUCCACUCAAGAAUGCAUUAUUUAUGCAACCGGUGUGAAAUAUCUGAGUAGCCAUCAAUACUUUAAUCUGUUUCUUUUUCAUAGAUUUGAACAUUGGUAUAGCGACUUCUACUUCGUUUUUGGGCAAAAAUUAUACGAAAAACUAUGUUACAAUUUUCAAGCCAAUUGAACCUUUUGUUGUUAUGAUUACAUUGUUUAAAGUAUUAAAUUCCAAAACUCUGAUAUGAUAGCAGAUGAAAUUCUGGUAUCUACUGUGUGUUCCUCGCAUGAAGACAACAUUCAGGCAAGCCUUCUAGCAUCCAUGCACAGCACCAUAAAACAGAUAAAUCUAAAAGGCUAAUUGUAACUUAGCAAUUUUGUCGAAAUUGUUAAUACAACCAAAUCCAUGUUGUCAGCAAGCAGGCUACACCUAACACCAGUAAACUAACAUUAUAAAUGACAUUAAAAUUAAUCAAUCCGGAAAAACAAAGUCAAUUGCCAUUUCUAUUGCAUAUGAGAUUUGACCCGUUCCACAUUUUUAUACCUUCUUAUUCAACAUCUGCCGUGGACUAAAGACAGUCUGGUAUUGUUCAAAAUCUGCAUGGAAUGACCAAUAAUGAGGAAGAAAAUUGAUCAAGUUGUUUGGUGGUACAAGUAUCUGUCAAUAAUAUAGUCUUGAAAGGUUUGGUUUUGACAACUAAGACAGACAUUGUUAGUAGCCCCAUUUUCAUCCCAGACAAGUCUCUUCCUACAAUCUGAUAGGCUAAUUUUCUAUAGCAAUGACCUUUUCAAUCGAAAACUGUCGUGUAAAUAACAUCUAAUUAGUGUAAGUUGGAUUGGAUGAUGGCUAGCUACAGGGGAGACAGAGUAUUUUGGAAUCAAAUGCUCAUCCAAAUAUUUAGCAUUACAGUGAUUCAGCAGAGUUGCUCUACUUCUAGCAGCUGUGAAGAUCAUGUUGUGUACAUAUUUACAUAACAGAAAAUCUUAAACGAGCCAAUACGACACGGCCCGAUAAAUUAAAUGAACUGACACAGCACGGCACUAAUACCUUAAAGACACGAAUUUAAAUGAGCCGGGCAGGGUGACACCUCUAGCUAACAUUCUUCUAAAAUCAAAAUGAUCAAGAGUUUUGUGUAGCGGUUCCAAUCCAAGAUAGUUUCCCACAGCUUCUUUGUUUGUCUAUUUUGCCCACGGUUUUGAUUGGUCAAAAAUUGUAAAAGUAAAGUCUUCAUCAGUCCUUCCAGAACGUUGACCCAAAACUUCCUCCCCACUCAAACGUCUCAUCGUCAUUCCUUUCCAGCUUUGUCUCAUUUUCAGACACCAUAAAACCCGACAAAUCCCACAAACCCCUCCACUCUCUGCAACAAACAAACCGCCAUAAACCCACAACUCACUGAACUCAAUUCAUCACCAUGCACAAAAGCACUUCAGGCUCACUAGGCCCCAGCGGCCUUGACCUAACCCAGGCCUUCUUCAAGCCCAUCUCCGGCGCCGCCUCACCCUCCUCCACCAAGCGCCACACCAAGAUCUCCGUCAUCGGCGCCGGCAACGUGGGAAUGGCCAUCGCUCAGACCAUCCUCACCCAGGACCUCGCCGACGAGCUUGUCCUCGUCGACGCCAAGCCCGAGAAGCUCCGCGGUGAGAUGCUCGACCUCCAGCACGCCGCCGCCUUCCUCCCCCGCACCAAGAUCAUCGCCGACGUCGACUACGCCGUCACCCACGGAUCCGACCUCUGCAUCGUCACCGCUGGGGCCCGCCAGAUCCUCGGCGAGUCCAGGCUCAACCUGCUCCACCGGAACGUCGCCCUCUUCCGCAAUGUCAUCCCGCCGCUCGCCAAGUACUCGCCGGACACGAUCCUACUGAUCGUGUCGAAUCCGGUCGACAUCUUGACCUACGUGGCCUGGAAGCUGUCCGGGUUCCCCAGCAGUCGGGUUGUCGGGUCAGGUACCAAUCUGGACUCUUCGCGGUUUCGAUUCCUCAUUGCUGAUCAUCUUGAUGUCAACGCUCAGGAUGUGCAGGUGGGUUUCUUUUUUUUACUUCUUCAUGACAUUGCAAAUGCUUGUUUAUAUAUUUGAAGUAGUUUUGAUAUGAAAUUUCUCAGAUGUUUUUUUGGUUUAUAACUAUCAAUUUUGGAUAAAACAUGGUUCUGUUUUUUCGUUUAUUUUUUCAUUUAGUAUAAUAUUACUAGAGAAUCUAGAAUCACUCUCAAACGAGCCUUUAAUUAGAUUAGACAACUUAGUAAACAAAAGAAAAGACAUAAAGUUAAACAACAAUCGCAUAACAAAUAGGAAAAGAGCGAAAUAGUAUCCAAUCAAUAACACAAGAUAACAAGUUAUAUUUUCUCGCCUAUUUACUACGGCAAAGAAUCAAAUUAUCACUAUAUUUAUUCUUUUUUUUUACUUCAUAUAAUUUCCCUUGAUAUUGAUAGUUUAGCGUUAUUCUGUAUUCUCACACCCUCAUAUUUUGGUAACACUGAUAAUGGAGACAAACAAUUUGUUUUUUGUGUGUAGAUAUUAGUCCAAAUUUUCAUGUAAUUUCUUGGGUAGUUGAUAUUUUAAUUGAAAUUUCUGUAUUUUAAGACCAUCCAUAUUGAUGUUUUAGUAGAUAAAACCCCAGAUUUUAAUGUAAUUUCUGAGCUAUGAUCAUAUCUUGUUUGAUAUUUCUAUAUUAAAGUGAUUUCUGUAUUUUUCUUAUGGAAUUAUGGGAUUGUAGGCUUACAUUGUUGGGGAGCAUGGUGACAGCUCAGUGGCAUUGUGGUCGAGCAUUAGCGUAGGGGGAGUGCCGGUGUUGAGUUUCUUAGAUAAGCAAGAAAUAGCUUACGAGAAAGAGACGUUAGAGAGCAUCCACAAGGUGGUUAUAGACAGUGCAUAUGAGGUGAUCAGUCUAAAAGGAUAUACUUCUUGGGCAAUUGGAUACUCCGUGGCCGCGCUAGCUUGGAGCAUAUUGAGAGAUCAGAGGAAGAUCCACCCGGUCUCGGUGCUUGCCAAGGGGUUUUACGGGGUCGACGGUGGAGAUGUGUUCUUGAGCUUGCCGGCCCAGCUCGGGAGAGGUGGGGUUUUGGGGGUGACCAAUGUGCACUUGACUGAUGAGGAGACUCAGAGGCUGAGGGACUCGGCUAACACCAUCUUGGAGCAGCAGUCUCAGUUGGGAUUAUGAAUUCGAUCACCAAGAACAUGGUGGGAUUGAUAUCCCAUCAAUCUUAGUUCCCACUUCUCUGCUUCAGUUUGUUCUUUUCGAAGGCAACAAUUGUCCAGUUUUUGGCUUCAACUAACAGAUGGUAUCUUCACGUUGUAAUGCGGUUUUGGCUUCUUACUGUGGCCUUCUGUUUUAUUUCUCAUGUAAUAAAUAUUAAAUCAUGAAGUUGGAUUAUAUGUCUUUUAAGACUAGUUUUAUAUAUGAAUUGAAACUACCUUUGAACAGAACUAAGAUUAUAUGUCUUAAGAGAGAAAUAUUUUUGCUCACCACUCUUCUCAACACUUGACACAUGUUCAUAAGCUUAACGAUAAUUAGCUAUUUGUUUUGUAUUUAUGGAAUCAUGGUUGCAUUCAUGGGCAUGUGUUUAGUGUUGAGAAAGGUGAUAAUGAUACAUAUUGGGUUAAAGUGGUGAGUAAAAAUAAGCUGGCCAAUAAUUUAGGAAAUGUAAAAUAUCAAAUUAAGUUUGUAUCAAAUUUAAAGGAUACGGAAAAACUAGUUCGAUUGAGCAUCUCCAAAGGAAGAGGCAAAUGAAAUAGGCAAAAUUGUACUAUAACAACCUAGGUGGUAUGUUGCCUAUUCAUUUGCCUCAUGAAAAAAGUUGAUCACUCAAAAUAUCAAAUUAAGUUUGUAUCAAAUUUAAAGGAUACGGAAAAACUAGUUCGAUUGAGCAUCUCCAAAGGAAGAGGCAAAUGAAAUAGGCAAAAUUGUACUAUAACAACCUAGGUGGCAUGUUGCCUAUUCAUUUGCCUCAUGAAAAAAGUUGAUCACUCAAAGGGACUAGAUAAUACAAGUCUACAAACUAUUAUUAUAUUAUUUAUUUCUAUCUUUUCAUAUGCUAUUAUAUUUUAUAGAAAGUAAGUGAGAGAGUGAAGAUGAUAUCUUAUUAUAAAAAUCAAGUGGGAUUCACUAUACCUUUUCACUUUGAAGUAGGCAAUAUUGCCUUGUUGGGGAGAGUAGGUAUAUUUUGCCUACCUAUUUGCCUCAUGAAAAUGCUGAUAUGACAAGGCAAAUGAGUUUUGCCUACUCUUUUGCCUCUUUCCUUGGAGAUGCUCACCAAAACUUUUUCCUUCACAUGUAUUCGAGUUUCUGGUGAGACAUUUCUGGCAUUUGGCACAGAGAAAUGGCUUAUGAUCCAAAAAUGAAGUUUGGAUAUCCUCUGCCUCUCUGUCCUGAUUAAUGGAUUUCUCUUUGGCCAUGGAUCAGGUUGAUCACUAGAAUGGUUUUUCGGUUGGUUGGUUUGUUUUUUGCUGAAAACUUGUGCCGGUCCAGCCAAAAAAGAAAAAAAGAAAAAAAGAGAGAAGGUGGGCUGGUUGUUUCCUUGUUCUAAAUGGGCUUUACCAAAGUGAGGCUUUUAAUUCUUCUUAACAUAAACCACUAAACUUAAAAACUUUAGCCCGUAUUAAACUCUCGUGAACCAAUCACAAUCUCUACGUAAGUUCAUUAAGAAUUAAUCAAUGGGCCAUGUAAUUUGGCACAAUUAUUUUAACGGCCCAAAAAAAAAAACAAUUUUCGUUUUGAAUACAAGUGAUAGUUUAAAUUAUAAAGGGAAAAUAAUUUCUCAUACAUACUACUAAGGUGUCAUGGAGGUUCGAACUUGAGACCACUAAUAUGCAAGUCAAGACCCUUUUUCAUUGAGCUCGACGCCUUUGACAAAGAAGACAAUUUUAUGAAGAGAUUAGACGAAAGUACAUUGGUCUUCUUUUGUUUGGUCUUCAAGCAUGGCAUCUUCGUCUUUUGCCAAAGACAAAAUUGAAAUGACAUAUCUAGCUAGCUAGCUAGCAAGCUCUAUCACGAGAAAACGUAUUGGCUUAUUUCAUUGUGAGAGGUUGUCUAUGUGACAAAGAUAAAAAUCAGAAACUGUUCGAAUUGUUCCUUGUGUAGUCAGUGAAGAUUAGAAUAUGGACACCUGAGGUUGCUUCCCCAUUUGAGGUAUCCGGUCAUUUACAAGAUGUUUACAUCUCUACAUUUUGUGCUUAUUUAGAAGUGUUUUUAUAAGUAAAAACAACUUUUAUAUAAUCAAAAGCGAUUUUUUAAAGAAAAAGUUAAAAGUGCCUUUCAAUUCUAAAAAUAUUUCUGAUUGCUUUUGAAGACGUGUUUCUAAGUGUUUAAUUUUUUACUGUGCUUCCUACAAAAGUAGUUCAAAACGGACCCUUAAUUACUUUAAAAAGAUGUGUGUCAUCACCACCUUAUCUUUGGCCAAAAAUCGAUCCAAUUAGGAAACAUACAAAACAAGAAAAUCAAUGAUCACCCAAAUCAACUGCAACCUUUAAAUUAUAUGUUGAUGAUAGAAUUAGAGUAUCCAACAUAAAAUCAAUUAACACUAGGUGGAGAGCCUUAAUUAAGAUCUAUAAUCUUACAUAUUCAUGUGGUGUAAGGCUUUACUUUCUCUGGUAUAAGAUAAUACUCUCAACAUUUCAACUCCAAAAUUCUUAAAUUCAUUUUGAAUUAAUGUUUAUACUCAUUAAUUAGGUUACAUUGGAAGAAGUUUGGAACCUAUAUGGUCUAUAUAUAUAUGCAUAAAACAUGCACAAUAUUUACAUAUACUUGCAUGUUCCAAACUUCCACCGUCAGUUUUGUUAAUUUGUGUUGCACUGUUUCGUCCAUGUAUCACUGUUUCAGUGCGUACAUACAUACGCCACUGCUUCAGUGCUUCUAGGCCUUUUCCAAAACUGUGAAUACGCAUGUGACGCGUACUCAGGCAUCUCUCUCUCUCUCUCUCUCUCUCCAGUGGAUGUUAUUAUUCAGAAGUGAUUAAAAAUUAACGAGGGAGCUUAAUUAUUAGAAAGUUGGUUUUAGCUGUAUUAUUAGACAUUUCGUAUUCUAUAGAUUAUUUGAUUAACAAAUUGGUGUUUUCAGAACAUGGCAUGUAUAAAAUUUCAGUGAUCCUGAUCACUUCAGUGAUCUAAUCACAGAGGUCACGGACGGGAAUAAUCCGACUAGAAAGAGUCAAAUUGGACAACUUAACAAUUCUAUAUAUUAUAUAAGACAUGUACGUACAGAUGCCACCAUACUUGAUAUAGUUUGAUAAUUACCAAUCAGUGCUUCCUCUUUGUCAUGUAUUCGUCAAGAUGCAUAACCACCACCACCACUACUAUUACCAUUUGAGGAGGUUAUCUGUAGGGUCAAAUGAAUCCAAAGGGGUCUUUUCUCUGAAUAAUAUUUGUGCAGUAUACUGGGUUUGUGUGGUACAACGAAUCUACAUGUUAUGACAUGAGUGAACGAUAUGAUAUAAUCAUAUUACAUAACAAAUGUACUUGUUAUACCAAGUGACAUGAGUGAACGAUAUGAUAUAAUCCUAGCUCAUUUUAUUAUCCUCUCACUGGCAUCGGCAAGUUGAGGACAAGUUCUGUAAUGACAUGACAUAUUUGAAUGCAGUUGCUCAAAAAUUAUUCUUGGAUAACUAUACAAACCCGCAAUGUAUUCUAACAUUCCAAAAUUGUGUGAAUAUAGAGCAAUAUGACCCCCUAAAUAAAAAUCCAGUUCAUUUUCAAGCUAAAACACAAGAAGAGUAGCAGAGGAUGACAUGUCGUACGGUUGAUUUGGACGUCUCCAGCAUUAUCAACUUGCAAAACAUGUAAAUAACAAUCAGCAUAUAUUAUAUAUAUGAAUGAAAUGGCCGCAAUGCAUGACCAAUUACUUCAAGUAAAUAUCAUUUUACUCUGCUAUUGCUGAAUAUUAUUAGAACAUUGUUUCGUAGGGGACAAGAAUUAAGCAGACCUGGCUUUUAUAACUAAACACACACAAAAAUCCAAACUCCAUAAUCCCAAAAGCUUAUCCCGCCAUGUUGCUUUGCCAGGUUGUAUACCCUAGGCAUCAUUUCCAAUCCAAUGUGCCCAUAUGGGUCAUUCUAAUUAUUUUAAUCCCCACCCUACAUCACUCUCCAUCUAUAAAAGCCCUAGCUAGCUACCAAUCUCAAACACAUCACAUCUCUCAACUUAUAAAUCCUCCAAAAGCUAAGAGCCAAUCAAUUUCCCAAAUGGCUUCCAAGGCUCUAGCUUCCACUGCUCUCCUCCUCUCCCUUAACCUCCUCUUCUUCACUUUGGUCACCUCCACCAAUGUUGCUUGCCCACCACCUCAGAAAAAGGGUCAUAAACACCAGCCCAAGCAUGCAAGUCCUGCACUACCCAACCCUAACCCCUCUAAGCCUGCCACGUGCCCCAAAGACACAUUGAAAUUGGGGGCAUGUGCUGACUUGUUGAAUGGUUUGGUGCACCUUGUUGUUGGUCCACCAAAGUUCCCUUGCUGCAGCCUCAUUGAGGGCCUUGUUGAUCUUGAUGCUGCUGUGUGCCUUUGCACUGCAAUCAAAGCUAAUGUCUUGGGGAUCCACUUAAACAUCCCCGUUUCACUCAGCCUGCUCUUGAACUACUGCGGGAAGCAGGUCCCAAGUGGCUACGAGUGUGCUUAAAUUUGAAGUACUAUUUAUCCGUACUGCUCUCAAUUUUUAGCACUUGGGUUUUCAUUAAUUUCCUUCGUUUCUCAUUUUCAUCAUGGUGUGCCUAAGAGCUUUGUUGGGAUGUUUAUUGGUAUAUUCCAUUAUACAUUCUUAUUAUUAAUAAUUCUUUCUAUAUUGUAUUGAUGGAUGGAUGGAUGGAUGGUAGGCUACUUGCCUUCUUCCACAUCCUCUAUAGCAACUGUAUUUUAGUGAAAAUAUUAUUGAUUGAGCUGAAAUAAUGAAUUUGUGAUGUUUCAGAAAGUAAUUGAAUUUGAGUUCCUUAUUGCAAUGUUUGUUCUACUACUACAAUUUUAUUUUCUGGGUAUAUGCACUACUGCUAAUUAGUACUCCUGUCUCCUAUGCAUUGUGAGGAACAUGAAAUCUCUUAUUCAUUGGGUCCAAAAUAAUAGUUGGAAGCGAAAAAAUUGAUUGUGAUUUUUCUAAGAAUUGUUAAUUGUUAAAGAGCAUCCGUAUGUCGAAAGAUGGAACCUUAACACAAGAGCUUAAAAGAUCUUUGGUCUACCAACGGGGUCUAGCUCAAUGAAAAAAGACAUCGACUUGCAGACUAGUAGUCUUAAGUUCGAACUUCCAUGACACUUUAUUAGUGUGUAUGUGAGAAACCCUCUCCACCUUAUAAUUUAGACUAUCACUUAUAUUUAAAAAGAUCUUGAACCUCUCUAGCCAUUGCAAAUUAAUUUUGAGAGAUUUUUUUUAUCAAGACAUGUUAAACUAAUCAACACAUGCUUUUUGUUGACCUUAUUCUUCCUGGUCGUACAUACGAAGAAUUAUAGCAUCAUUGAUUCAUCGCACAUUUCACUUGUGUAAGUGGCUAGAUAUAAGCAUAACUUUGAAGUUAAUUAUUAUAUUCAUAUUAACAAGCGUUUAUGAUCCAUGUUGAGCUUGUGUGGAACUACUUCUGGAGAAGUGCAUUCAAGAAUCACUUUCGAAUGCUUUUUCAAAAAGCAAUUUGAUUUUUAAUAAAAACUUUGACGUUCUUCUAAUAAUAGAAGCACUUUAGAAAAAAGUGUUUAUGGGCAAAUUUUCCUGUAAAAAGAAGUCACAAACGGGUUACGGGUUACGGGUCCGUUCGUUAUUAGAGAUCCAAUUUUCUAGAUAAUUUCAGACUGUGAAGUUAGAGAGACCGAGAAUGAAUUUUGAAGUUAAUCAUGUUAAUAUUACUAAGAUACAUGAACAAAGGUGGCGGUGGCCCAGAGUUUGUAGAUCCAACUGGCCAGAUAAAUCAUGUAUAUGCUAGCCUGUCAAUCGUAAAUUCGAACUGAAAGUUAGCUAUUUAAUCAAUAAUUAAUAUAUGUGUUAACAUCAUUUUACCCUCUCAAAAUUUAGGAUCAUUCUUCAAAUGAACCACCCAGUUUUAAUUUUGUCAAUUUACGCCUAACUAUUUAAAAUUCGAUUAAUUUACACGUUCCGUCAAUUUGACCGUUUAGUCUUCUGUUAAGUGAUGAUCCACCUUUUUAGCUCAAGUAUAAUAAAAUAUGUAAUAAGUAAUAUUAAAAAAAUUCUUUAUUUUAAAGUUAAGUAAAAUCAAUUAUUUAAAACAACAACAAAAACAUAAUUAAAAAACCCAACACUAUGACCAAACUCCCAGGCCAUUACCAACCAACUCCAAACCCAGCAUCUCCACUACCCCAUCCUUCUUCUUCCUCAUUUUUCUUUUCUUCCACAUCCCCACCUUCAUUCCCAACACCCAUUUCUCCUUCAGAUGCCUACGCUCAUCUCCUUCCUUUAGAGGGGGGAGAUUGGGGGGUAGGGAUGGUUUCAGAUCUGGGGUGCGAUGGGUUGGGGAAGGAGGAGAGUGGGUUGUUUGUAGGCGGUGGUUGUGAGGUAGUCUGGGUUGUUUGUAGGCGAUGAUUCUAAGGUGGUUUGGGUUGAAAGAGGAGAGGGUUUGGUGACGAGGUUUGAUUGGAAUGUUGUUUUUUUUUUUUUUUUGGUUUUAAAUAAUUGAUUUUAAUAUUUUUAAUUAACUUAAAUAGUAAAAAAAUUAAAUUAUGCUAACGACAAAAGACACCCUGCUGGUUUAGGGUCAUUAUCGAAUUGGACCCCACCAUAUCAAUUUUAUCAAUUUACGCCCUGACGUUUUGAACAUCGUCCAAUUUCAUCCUUCCGUUAAGUUGACUAGAUGGUUAAUCGUUAACUGUUGACGUGGCACCCGUGGGACCCACCCCAUCAACGAUUUGACCAUUCAUGUCAUGCCAUAUGAAGGACAGUCUUGGGUUUCUACAAUUUUUUUUAUAAAAAAAAAAAAAAAGAACAUCGCCCCUAAAAUUGGGCACGCUUUGCAAGAAGACGACUAAAGUAAAAGCCUCAAACCGUUGUUCGUCCUCAACCUCAAUGUAACCUAAAUCCUAAAUCUCCAUAGUUGACAGCAAGUUCUAUGAUUUCGAAGAAGUGAGAAGAAAUGAGUUGGGAUUUCAGGGUUUCAGGCGCUCCACAUCCAUCGUACGGUAAGUUGGUUUAAAUUUUUACAAUUUGGGAUAUUUGUGUUGAAUGGGUUAGAGGUCGUAAGGGUUAUUCUGGUUUGAAUGUUGAGUUUUAUAGGGUUUAGUGGAAUAGUUGGAGAAGUAUGAAAGAUUUUGUCGAAUAUAGGUGGCCUUAUUACAGAUUUCAAAUAUAGGUGGUCCUUCAAGCUAAGCAUGUGUGUUGGCAAUGUCUGCCUUUAAUACUCUAAGCUUCUGCUUUUAAUAAUGCAAAAGUGUUAGGUGGAAGGGUGUGAAAAAGGUUGUUUAAUAAAAAUUUGGACUUUUGUAUAAUGGUCCUAAACAGAAAAUAAUUGAAAAGUCAGUUAUGGUUUUUGUGUAAAGUUUGAAUACUGUGUUUUGUGUUGUGUUUUAUGUUUGAACUGAAAAUAACCCAUUUUUGGGACAUGUAAUAUGUAGGUGAUCCUGAAUUGUUUUCUAUUCGAAUGUACCAUGGUGGUUAAAUCUGUGGUAACAGUUAUGCUUCUGGCAGUGUAGCUUGGUUUGAUUAUUGUGACAAUGAUAGAAUGUCAAUGACUGAGAUAGACAAUAUAGUGAGGGAGUUAGGCUAUGAUGAGGUGAUUAGUUACUAGUAUAGUAUCCCUAUAUAUAGCAAUGGUGGCCUAUAGCAAAGCUUAAUGAUGAUCAAGAUGUCAUAGACAUGCUUGUAUUUGUACCAGAGACAAGGCUAAUAGGCAUCUCUUCCUACAUCAUGGGGUUGAUAAUAAUGAGCAUUGGUUUUAUAGUCAAUCAGGAUCAAAUAUGUUUGUUGAUGUAGAAGCUGAUAUUGUGCCUAACGGAGGAGUUGUGAUUGAGGAGCUUGAUGACAAUUAUGGGGCUAUUGUUCUUGUUGGUGGGAAAUGCAAACAAUGGAGGCAACAAAAAAGAAAAAAACAAGUGUGGUGAUAGAAGAGCUCAAUGAAGACCCAAAUGGGGAACAAAGUGGUGGGGGUUACGCAAAAGCUAAGGGAAUCUUGUGCAGGACAUGGUGUUUCUGAAAAAGGCAAAGAAAAGGCAGUAGAGAGAGAAUCUUCUGCUGUGCAAAAAGACAAAGAAAGAGCUGUUGAGAGGGAAUCUCCUGCCACUGUAGACAAAGGGAAAAGUAAAGUCAAUUAUGUUUUUGGAAAAAGGAGGGCGAGAGCUUUUGGUAAAAGGAGGUGCAAAAAUGUAAAAAAGACACGUAAUAAAGAAGACCAAAGGUCCAAUACAGUGACUGAGGGACUAGUUCAGAAAGAGGUUGUUGAAGGAAGUGUAGAAAAGAGCAACUUAUCAGGAUGUCAUCCAAUGAAGACAAGAAAAGCAAGAACAAGGACCACAGUCUGUCAUGAUGAGAAGGAGUUAGUAGACAGUCUUGACUCUGAUUUUGCAGACCCUAACUUCAGUUGUGAUGAUAAUGAUGAUGAUGUCGAUUUUGAUGAAUGGGUGGACAAACAAACUGAGUGGGUUGGAGAUGGGGCAAAAGGAAAAGAGCCAGAGUCAACAAAUGUUGGGGUUGAAUCUUAGGAUUGGGGUGCAGAUGUUGAACUGGAUUCAGAAGAGUAUGAUUAUGAUAAUGUGCAGCCUCAAUAUGACUCUGAAGAUGACACUCCAAUGACGGAUAUAUGGCCAGAGUUCAAUCCGGCAACUAACAUGGCAGAUCCAGAGUUUGAGGUUGGGAUGAAGUUUAGCGAUUGUAAAGUUUUUAGAGCGGUUGUGAGAGAACAAUUUAUAAAGAGGAAUAGGGAUGUCGUAUUUGUGAGAAGUGAUGCUUUAAAGCUAAAGGCAGUUUGUAGCCUAUGAGAGAUAUAUGUUUCCAAAAUGCAACAUGAGAAGACCCUGCAGCUUAAGAAAUAUGAGGGUUAACACACUUGUGGUAUUGUUUGGGAGAACCCUACUGUGAAGUCUAGUUGGCUGAGUGCCAAAUAUAUGGAAAUAUUGAAGAGCAAUCCAAGUUGGCCAGUUAGCUUAUUCAUGGAGACUGUGGAGAAAGAUUAUAACACUGGAGUUUCUAGGCAACAAGUUUAUAGGGCAAAAGAGAAGGUAUUAAGGCAGAUUGAGGGAAUAUACACAGAGCAAUACUCCAGAAUUUGGGAUUAUUGUGAAAAGUUAAGGAAGACCAAUCCAGGAACAACAACAGAAGUUCAAUGUGAUUUCAAUGAACAAUUGGGUCAUCCAGUGUUUCAAAGGUUAUAUGUGUGCCUAGGUGCAUGUAAAGCAGGGUUCAUUGCUAGAUGCAGACCCAUUAUUGGAUUGGAUGACUGCUUCUUGAAGGGUGUAUAUGGAGGGCAAUUUUUAGCAGCAGUUGGUAUAGAUGCUAAUAAUGAAACAUGGGUGAUUGCAUAUGCAGUGGUUGAGUCUAAGUGCAAGGAGUCAUGGGUUUGGUUUCUGGAAUUGCUGGUAAAGGAUAUAGAGAUUGUUAACCAGUUUGGAUACACUUUCAUAUCAAACAAGCAAAAAGGAUUAUUACCAGUUUUGAGCAAGUUGUUCCUAAUAGUGAACACAGGUUUUGUGCAAGACAUCUGUUCACCAACUUCAUAUUACAAUUCAAAGGGAAAACUUUGUUUGACAAAUUCUGGGGUGCUGCAAAAGCAACAACUGUUCCACAGUUUGCAAGACAGAUGGAAAAGCUGAAAAACCUUGAUAUGGAUACUUAUGCUUGGCUGACUGAACCAAGAAAACCUCCCAGGAAUUUGUCUCGAUCACACUUCAGCACUCAUGUGAAGUGUGAUAUGCUUUUAAACAAUAUGUGUGAGUUCUUCAACUCAUUCAUAUUGGCAUGCAGAGAUAAGCCAAUACUGACCAUGCUUGAGAUAGUUAGGUGUAAGUUGAUGAGGAGGAGACAAGGCAGAAGGGACAAAAUGAAGAAUUAGACAAAGGAAAUUUGCCCCAAGUGAGAUUAAUAAAGCAAAAGAGGUGGUUGUGUGACUAUGUGGUCAGGUGGAGGAAAAUUUCAAGUUGGCAGUGGUGGGAUUUCACAAUAUAUUGUGGACUUGGAUUUAAGGAACUGUUUUUGCAGAGAAUGAGAUUUGACUGGUUGGCCUUGUGUUCAUGGAGUGGUAGCUAUAAAUUACAAUGGGGGCUUAAACGUAAUGGAUUAUGUGGAUGCAUUUUAUCACACUCAGACAUAUUUCAAGGCAUAUGAAAACCUCAUACUACCUAUGAAUAGGAUGGAGUUGUGGGAUAGAACUAAUAUGCCACCAUGUGUGCCUCCUUCAUACUCCAAACAACCUAGAAGGCCAAGAAAUGCUAGAAGGAAGGAAACAGGUGAAUGCAGCAACAAGGCCAAUAUUGUUACAAAAGUUCAAGACUCACUGAGGUGUGGCCAAUGUGGAAGAAAAGGCCACAAUAAAAGGACUUGUCAUAGGAAUCUCCCCCCAAAAACAAAAGUCAAAAAGAGGAAGGCUGAGGUAAACAUCUAAGAAUGAACUUUUGUUAAUGUUAUAAAUGUUAAUGUUUUUGGAAUAUGAUGCAACUAACAGGUUUGAUUUGUUGUCUCAUCCCAGCAAACUACUCAAACAAGUGAAGCUGGUCCCAAUACAAAAACAAGGCGAGCUAAGCCUACAAGAUCUGUGCAUAAAGGAAAAAGAAAGAGAAAGGCCACCAAUGCAGCUGGAAGUUCAAAUGCACCACCAACUGAUUCAGCUGCUCCAUCCUCAACACCUACAACUGGAUCUGCCUCUCUUGCAACUGGAUCUGCCUCUCAUGCAUCAACUGAAGCUUCAACUGACAAUUCUUAUUUAUUGAGGAAACGACCUAUGGUUGUGGGAGCAUUAGACUUGAGCAAGGAAUGAUGAUGGUUUGUGUUGUAUUAGCCGGUUUGGUUAUUUUGAGCAUGAGACAGUUUUACCUUUAUUAGCUGGUUGGAUUAGGUUAUUAUAUUAUUAUGUUAUUUUGGAAGACAACUUGCCUUGUGAUCAAAUAUGUAAGACAGGUUCUGUUUUUUUUUUUUUUUUUUUUUUGGGAAUACAGGUUCUGCUAUUUUGGAAGGUUGUAAAUGUUGUUCUGUGGCUUAUUUUGUUGUAAUGCUACAAGUGGAUAUGUUAUUAGGUAGCCUAUUUUGUUGUAAUGCUGCGAGUGAAAAUCAAUUUGCUCAUAUGUUGUACACACAAGUUAUUGGAAUGAACAUGUCAUUGCAUUACCAAAAUUUCACACUGUAUGCAGAUUACAUAGCCAUUCCCAUUACAUAACAAAAAUGCAAAAUGUUCAUUCCCAUUACAUAACCAAAACCACACUGCUUUCCAUACCAAAGACACAGUGCAGAUCUAACUAAAUGCAUAGUACUUCCCAUACCAAAGCACAGUGCAUCCCUAAAACACCCAAUUUCAUGCCAAUUCCAAAGUUUUCAGCUUCAAUCCAUCUGAUCCACUAUUCCGUCCAAAGACGGACAUUGCAUUAAGCAUCCACGAUACCACCAAUGCUGCCCAAAGAACCUUUUCUCUGUGUCUAGUCUUUAUUAGUGAAUUCUCCAACUUAUCUCGCGAUUUUAGCAACCCCGGAAUCACAACUUUAGACCUUUCACACAUUUCCACAUCAUACCAAACCCAGAAAUCACAACCUCCUCUACUUUGCACAAAACCCACUCUGUAAAUUAACAUUUGCACCUGCUGCAAUUCAAAUUCUAAUAUUUUGCACCAAAUCCAGUUUUUUAUCUUUGUACACACAGCGAAUUGCCUUCCAGGAUUCGAAAUUGUCCACGAAGUUCGGAUUCUUGCAUUCUUACCACACCAACACACCAUCGCCUGAUGCUCCAUUUCUCCUUUGUUUUCUGGGUUAAGGAUCCAAUACAAUCGGGCGGCUCACUUCUUAGAAAUCGUAUAUCUAAGCCCUCAGCUAUGGAAAUUUAAGAUUUAUGUUGGGUUUAUGACAACUUUGGGGCUUUCUCUUCGAUCUCCAGUUGAGGUUGAGGACGAACGACAGUUUGAGGCUUUUACUUCAGUCGUUUUCUUGCAAAGUGUGCCCAAUUUUGGGCUCGAUGUUACAUUUUUUAUUUUAUUUUUUAUAAAUUGUAGAAACCCAAAACUGCCCUUCAUAUGGCAUGAGAUGAAUGGUCAAAUCGCCGGUGGGGUGGGUCCCACGGGUGCCACGUCAGCAAUUAACGAUUGACCGUCUGGUCAACUUAACAGAAGGAUGAAAUUGGACGAUGUUCAAAACGUCGGGUGUAAAUUGAUAAAAUUAAUACUGUGGGGGUCCAAUUCGAGAAUGACCCUAAACCAGCAGGGUGUCUUUUGUCAUUAGCCCAAUUAUUUUUUAUAUAUUUUAUUACACCUAAGCUAAAAAGGUGGACCUCAUGUUUGCCACAUCAUCACUUAACAGAAGACCUAGCGGUCAAAUUGACGGUAUGUGUAAAUUGGUCGAAUUUUAAAAUAUUAGGACGUAAAUUGACAAAAUUAAAACUACGUGGCCCAUUUUAAAAAUAACCCUAAAUCUUAAAGGGGUAAGAUGAUGUUAGCCUUUAAUAUAUCAACAAAAUGAGAACAUAAUUAAGCUACUAAAAAUUUUCUACAAAGAAAUUUAAAGCUAAAUACAUUGCAAAUCAUUUUUUUUUUUUUGGACAACCAUUGCAAAUCAAUGGUGAGGACAAUUCUUAAUUAAUUUAAUUAAAUUUAUAUUUCUUUUAAAUCCUAUGUUCCAGGUGACAGAAAACAAGUUCCAACAGUCCAACUUGGCCAAAUGGGUCAAGUCCAACUUGUAGCUCCUUGUUUCCUGUAAAGAUCAACAACCUAUGGAUUCAUCAUUAGCGCGCUAAAGAUCCAACGCCUUUCUAACGAGUCAGCAAAACGACAACUUGAUUUUAACCCUUGACUAAAAUUUUGUAAUUUUACAGGAAUUAUUUGACUUUCUUUUUUGUUUUUGUCAAAAAAGUCAUUUCCAUCUUAAAUAAAUAUGGUAACGGCAAAAAUAUAAUAUUAUUGUCGCCAAUGACGACUAUUAUUAGGGUAAAUUCAAAAAAAAUUGAUCUAUGAAUAAAUACUUGAAAAAUAAAAAUUUUGAAUCGUUGAAAAAAAAAAUCAUAGAUCCUAAAAGAUAUCCCACCUCUCUCACCUUCGAUAGAAAAAGACUGAUUAUAUAUAUGCGCUACUAUAAUUAAUGUGUUAGACUAGUGUAGGAUAACUUCUCCCAAUAAUGUGAUCUUAACUAUGUUAUUAUACGAAUUUCAGCACCAAAUUUCUAAUCCAAGAUACUGAUAUUGUAAAUGUGUCGGCGGAUAUGUAGCGAUAUUUUUUCUCAUCCUAUCAGUUACAAUUUUUUUUCUUUUGGUUUGGUAAAUAGGAAGAUCACAUGUUCGCAUCGUGGAAUGUACCCAAAAUAAUUGCACUUUCUUUCUGUACCGCAAACCCUAAAGCUAGCUCUACCUUUUUUUUUGUGCAAAAUAACUUUCCUCCAUAACCCGCCAACGAAAGAAAAUAGGGAAUGGACCAAACAUGAUUUCUCUUGUCUGUGCAAAAUCUAUAAUCUCUGUGAAACCGAAUUACAAGCUGGUGGGUUCUGAAAUCCAACACAUGCAUAUUCACGGAUUGCACUUCUGUCAACUAGUCACGGAUUGUUUAUUGAAGUUUGCACACCUCCAACAACAAUCCAAACUCUGCAUUUUAUUUUCACUUGGAAUCUCCACAGCUCUCAUGUUUUUUUACCACAGCUUCUUGUUGUUCUUCCACGUUUAAAUAUAGUCCUUGUUUUCCCUUCCAUUUGUCACACACAAAACUCACGGAUUGCUCAUAAAAUUCACCUAUAUAUAAUCCUUUGGAUCGUCAAACCCAUCAAAACCCAGAAGUUUUAAAGUAUAACUAGUAGCUAGUGAUCUUGUAAAAUCAUGGGUUCCAAGGUUACUGCCAUGUUCUUCAUCUCUUUGAUUUGCACGGUUUUCGCAUUGCCUCCAAUUCAAGCUUGUACACCUUGUACUCAGCCACACCCAUCAAAACCACACCCUCCACAUCAUCCAUCACAUCCACCACAACCACCUUCCCACACUCCAACCCAUCCCAAAAACCCACCAACCCCAAAACAACCACCACACCAUAAACCGCACCCAAAAGCCCCAUCCAAGAACCCACCGGUUAUAUCCCCGCCCAUAGUAAAACCUCCACCGCACCCAAAACCCCCAUCCAAGAACCCACCCGUUAUAUCCCCGCCCAUAGUAAAACCUCCAGUCACUAACCCUCCUGUGACAAUCCCACCCCCUUCCACUCCUUACCCCGGCAGCCCUCCUGGUGGUGGAGGAGGCGGAGGGGGCGGAGGGGGCGGAGGGGGCGGAGGCGGUGGUUGUGGUGGAUGUGGUGGUGGUGGAGGAGGUGGAGGUGGAACUGUUCCGGGUCCAAACCCUCCUCCGCCCACUUCACCAACAUGUCCAAUUGAUGCGCUUAAGUUGGGGCUUUGUGUGGACGUGCUUGGUGGUUUGGUGCAUAUUGGGCUUGGGAACCCAGUUGAGAAUGCUUGCUGCCCAAUUCUUGGAGGGUUGCUUGAGCUUGAAGCAGCCAUUUGUCUUUGCAC